rnacentral:rRNA from 1 species
GUUGAACGCUGGCGGCGUGCCUAACACAUGCAAGUCGAGCGGAUGAAGGGAGCUUUCUCCUGGAUUCAGCGGCGGACGGGUGAGUAAUGCCUAGGAAUCUGCCUGGUAUUGGGGUAUAACGUCCGGAAACGGGCGCUAAUACCGCAUACUUCCUGAGGGAGAACGUUGGGGAGCUUCGGACCUCACGCUAUCAGAUGAACCUAGGUCGGAUUAGCUAGUUGGUGGGGUAAAGGCCUACCAAGGCGACGAUCCGUAACUGGUCUGAGAGGAUGAUCAGUCACACUGGAACUGAACCACGGUCAAGACUCCUACGGGAGGCAGCAGUGGGGAAUAUUGGACAAAGGGCGAAAGCAUGAUCCAGCCAUGCCGCGUGUGUGAAGAAGGUCUUCGGAUCGUAAAGCACUUUUAGUUGGGAGGAAGCGCAGUCAGUUAAUACGUUGCUGUUUUGACGUUACCAACAGAAUAAGCACCGGCUAACUACGUG